UAAUUUGUCUAGGACAAAUCAUUAUCUAGUCGUGGUAGAUCCAAUCCUAACUGCUCAACAUCAUUUGUUAUCUCAAGCCCGACUACAUCAUAUAGUUUUUAUCAUCAAAUUAUUUUUAAGAUUCCUAUAUCUUAAA
rfam:Populus trichocarpa isolate Nisqually-1 chromosome 16, whole genome shotgun sequence.